CACUCCUGCGGGAGGCAGCAGUGGGGAAUAUUGCACAAUGGGCGCAAGCCUGAUGCAGCCAUGCCGCGUGUAUGAAGAAGGCCUUCGGGUUGUAAAGUACUUUCAGCGGGGAGGAAGGCGAUAAGGUUAAUAACCUUGUCGAUUGACGUUACCCGCAGAAGAAGCACCGGCUAACUCCGUGCCAGCAGCCGCGGUAAUACGGAGGGUGCAAGCGUUAAUCGGAAUUACUGGGCGUAAAGCGCACGCAGGCGGUCUGUCAAGUCGGAUGUGAAAUCCCCGGGCUCAACCUGGGAACUGCAUUCGAAACUGGCAGGCUAGAGUCUUGUAGAGGGGGGUAGAAUUCCAGGUGUAGCGGUGAAAUGCGUAGAGAUCUGGAGGAAUACCGGUGGCGAAGGCGGCCCCCUGGACAAAGACUGACGCUCAGGUGCGAAAGCGUGGGGAGCAAACAGGAUUAGAAACCCGUGUAGUCCCA
rnacentral:rRNA from 1 species